AGCAUACCCUCCAACAACCUACAUAAACAAGUUUUCCAAUAAUCGCUUUCACCCCAAAUUCACACCUUUUCUUCACACACAGUCAAAACGAACAUUCUCUUUUUCUCUCACAACAACAAUGGCACCAAAGGUAGCCGAGAAGAAGCUAACCCAUAACUUCUAUCUACCCUCUUCACUUUCAAGCAUUUGACAAUCAAUACUUCCAUUCUUGCGGGAGCAUGACUUCCGAAUACGUGAAGCUUAAUGACAACAUAAUGGCGAUACCACUUUUUAUUACCAGCUCUGUGAAGCGUUGUGGCGGCAUGGAAUUUCAUACUGUGAGGCAAAUCUGUUACGGGUGUUUGGUUGUUAUGCAAUUUAAUUCCAUGUUUAUGUUUAACGACUGAGCUAGGCGAACAUGCUGUUUAAAAUUUAAUUCAGUAGAAGAUAAUGUAAAUAAUAAAAGUAGAAACAAAUUUAAAAAAAUAUGUUUUUUCUAAAAGAAAAAUCAUUAGUAAACCAGAAGAUCCUGCACGUCACCUCCUUGGUUCAGUCACUGACCUCUUUUCUCAUAUAUAUGGCGGUGGAGAUCUCAGAUGGCGCCAGCGACUCCUGCUAACAUCUAAAUGUAAAUUCUUCAAACACUGUUUUUUUUGUUAAUACUGAAAAUGAGAUUUUAGAUACGUUAAAGAUAUUUAAUAUUUAUAUAGCAUCAAAAGCAAUACAAAUGGUGACAAUCAGAUAAGAAAGUUGUUUGUAAUUAAAAAAUUCUGAUUAUAAACGUUUAAAUCAAAAGUGCCUAACUAUUGUUAAUUGUUUACAAAUAUACAUAUUAAAUAACAAAAGUGCUUAACUAUUGUUAUCUCUAUACAGAUAUACAUAUAUUUACGUAAUAGAUUAAGUGAGGAAAUAAAAUGAUAAUAUAUGAAUUAAUGUUUGGAAGGGAAACCCACUGUACUGUCGGUUUCACAUCGACCGUCGCAAUAGAAGUCACCGGUGGCGGUAAGUUUCUGUUCAAACUGUUGUAGGCAGUGUUUAUCUUCAAUCUUCAUCUUGGCGACUAGAUCUGCAACAACGUAAGUUAACUCCCCAUAGUUUUCAUUCUCUUGAACCAUCGUUGUCGUCGAAGAAGAACAAAAAAACAUUGCGAUUCAGAGUCGAUUCUGGCAUACCCGAAAAACCUCUUCUUCUAACCAAAUUAGAAAGCAUAACAAAUGAGGAAGGUGGGGAGUUUGUAAGGGACAUGGUGCGUGUUGAGAAAGAGGGUUUUGUGAUCCUUUCACCGGUGAGAAACUCUGACAGGAGGAAGGAGGUGAGGUAGGCAAGAGUGUGACACAUUUGAGGAAUGGACGAGAGGUUUUGAUGGGCCUAAACAGUGGUUUGAAACUUUAGUAUGCGAACGUGGUUUUGAAAAACCAGCUAUUUGCUUAGGUCAAUUAAAAUUACUUUCCCUUUUACCUAUGAAUCACAGCCGGAUACCAUAGCUUAAUUAAAUAUGUAAUGGUAAUUAAAAGAUAGGGACCUUCACACCACAGUUUAUAAAAUUUUAUAUCUAACAAAUGUUAUAGUGGGGUAAAAUCCAUUUUAAUAAACAUGUAAACUUUACAUCCA